rnacentral:rRNA from 1 species
AUUGAACGCUGGCGGCAGGCCUAACACAUGCAAGUCGAAUGGUAACAGGAAACAGCUUGCUGUUUCGCUGACGAGUGGCGGACGGGUGAGUAAUGUCUGGGAAACUGCCUGAUGGAGGGGGAUAACUACUGGAAACGGUAGCUAAUACCGCAUAACGUCGCAAGACCAAAGAGGGGGACCUUCGGGCCUCUUGCCAUCAGAUGUGCCCAGAUGGGAUUAGCUAGUGGGUGGGGUAACGGCUCACCUAGGCGACGAUCCCUAGCUGGUCUGAGAGGAUGACCAGCCACACUGGAACUGAGACACGGUCCAGACUCCUACGGGAGGCAGCAGUGGGGAAUAUUGCACAAUGGGCGCAAGCCUGAUGCAGCCAUGCCGCGUGUAUGAAGAAGGCCUUCGGGUUGUAAAGUACUUUCAGCGGGGAGGAAGGGAGUAAAGUUAAUACCUUUGCUCAUUGACGUUACCCGCAGAAGAAGCACCGGCUAACUCCGUG